UUAAGUUAGAAAGGGCGCACGGUGGAUGCCUUGACACUAGGAGUCGAUGAAGGACGGGACUAACGCCGAUAUGCUUCGGGGAGCUGUAAGUAAGCUUUGAUCCGAAGAUUUCCGAAUGGGGAAACCCACCAUACGUAAUGGUAUGGUAUCCUUAUCUGAAUACAUAGGGUAAGGAAGACAGACCCAGGGAACUGAAACAUCUAAGUACCUGGAGGAAGAGAAAGCAAAUGCGAUUUCCUGAGUAGCGGCGAGCGAAACGGAACAUAGCCCAAACCAAGAGGCUUGCCUCUUGGGGUUGUAGGACAUUCUAUACGGAGUUACAAAGGAACGAGGUAGACGAAGCGACCUGGAAAGGUCCGUCGUAGAGGGUAACAACCCCGUAGUCGAAACUUCGUUCUCUCUUGAAUGUAUCCUGAGUACGGCGGAACACGUGAAAUUCCGUCGGAAUCUGGGAGGACCAUCUCCCAAGGCUAAAUACUCCCUAGUGAUCGAUAGUGAACCAGUACCGUGAGGGAAAGGUGAAAAGCACCCCGGAAGGGGAGUGAAAGAGAUCCUGAAACCGUGUGCCUACAAAUAGUCAGAGCCCGUUAACGGGUGAUGGCGUGCCUUUUGUAGAAUGAACCGGCGAGUUACGAUCCCGUGCGAGGUUAAGCUGAAGAGGCGGAGCCGCAGCGAAAGCGAGUCUGAAUAGGGCGUUUAGUACGUGGUCGUAGACCCGAAACCAGGUGAUCUACCCAUGUCCAGGGUGAAGUUCAGGUAACACUGAAUGGAGGCCCGAACCCACGCACGUUGAAAAGUGCGGGGAUGAGGUGUGGGUAGCGGAGAAAUUCCAAUCGAACCUGGAGAUAGCUGGUUCUCCCCGAAAUAGCUUUAGGGCUAGCCUUAAGUGUAAGAGUCUUGGAGGUAGAGCACUGAUUGGACUAGGGGUCCUCAUCGGAUUACCGAAUUCAGUCAAACUCCGAAUGCCAAUGACUUAUCCUUAGGAGUCAGACUGCGAGUGAUAAGAUCCGUAGUCAAAAGGGAAACAGCCCAGACCGCCAGCUAAGGUCCCAAAGUGUGUAUUAAGUGGAAAAGGAUGUGGAGUUGCUUAGACAACUAGGAUGUUGGCUUAGAAGCAGCCACCAUUUAAAGAGUGCGUAAUAGCUCACUAGUCGAGUGACUCUGCGCCGAAAAUGUACCGGGGCUAAAUACACCACCGAAGCUGCGGAUUGAUACCGAAUGGUAUCAGUGGUAGGGGAGCGUUCUAAGGACAGUGAAGUCAGACCGUAAGGACUGGUGGAGUGCUUAGAAGUGAGAAUGCCGGUAUGAGUAGCGAAAGACGGGUGAGAAUCCCGUCCACCGAAUGCCUAAGGUUUCCUGAGGAAGGCUCGUCCGCUCAGGGUUAGUCAGGACCUAAGCCGAGGCCGACAGGCGUAGGCGAUGGACAACAGGUUGAUAUUCCUGUACCACCUCUUUAUCGUUUGAGCAAUGGAGGGACGCAGAAGGAUAGAAGAAGCGUGCGAUUGGUUGUGCACGUCCAAGCAGUUAGGCUGAUAAGUAGGCAAAUCCGCUUAUCAUGAAGGCUGAGCUGUGAUGGGGAAGCUCCUUAUGGAGCGAAGUCUUUGAUUCCCCGCUGCCAAGAAAAGCUUCUAGCGAGAUAAAAGGUGCCUGUACCGCAAACCGACACAGGUAGGCGAGGAGAGAAUCCUAAGGUGUGCGAGAGAACUCUGGUUAAGGAACUCGGCAAAAUGACCCCGUAACUUCGGGAGAAGGGGUGCUUUCUUAACGGAAAGCCGCAGUGAAUAGGCCCAAGCGACUGUUUAGCAAAAACACAGCUCUCUGCGAAGCCGUAAGGCGAAGUAUAGGGGGUGACACCUGCCCGGUGCUGGAAGGUUAAGGAGAGGGGUUAGCGUAAGCGAAGCUCUGAACUGAAGCCCCAGUAAACGGCGGCCGUAACUAUAACGGUCCUAAGGUAGCGAAAUUCCUUGUCGGGUAAGUUCCGACCCGCACGAAAGGUGUAACGAUUUGGGCACUGUCUCAACCAGAGACUCGGUGAAAUUAUAGUACCUGUGAAGAUGCAGGUUACCCGCGACAGGACGGAAAGACCCCGUGGAGCUUUACUGUAGCCUGAUAUUGAAAUUCGGCACAGCUUGUACAGGAUAGGUAGGAGCCUUUGAAACGUGAGCGCUAGCUUACGUGGAGGCAUUGGUGGGAUACUACCCUAGCUGUGUUGGCUUUCUAACCCGCACCACUUAUCGUGGUGGGAGACAGUGUCAGGUGGGCAGUUUGACUGGGGCGGUCGCCUCCUAAAAGGUAACGGAGGCGCUCAAAGGUUCCCUCAGAAUGGUUGGAAAUCAUUCAUAGAGUGUAAAGGCAUAAGGGAGCUUGACUGCGAGACUUACAAGUCGAGCAGGGUCGAAAGACGGACUUAGUGAUCCGGUGGUUCCGCAUGGAAGGGCCAUCGCUCAACGGAUAAAAGCUACCCCGGGGAUAACAGGCUUAUCUCCCCCAAGAGUCCACAUCGACGGGGAGGUUUGGCACCUCGAUGUCGGCUCAUCGCAUCCUGGGGCUGUAGUCGGUCCCAAGGGUUGGGCUGUUCGCCCAUUAAAGCGGUACGCGAGCUGGGUUCAGAACGUCGUGAGACAGUUCGGUCCCUAUCCGUCGUGGGCGUAGGAAAUUUGAGAGGAGCUGUCCUUAGUACGAGAGGACCGGGAUGGACAUACCUCUGGUGUACCAGUUGUCGUGCCAACGGCAUAGCUGGGUAGCUAUGUAUGGACGGGAUAAGUGCUGAAAGCAUCUAAGCAUGAAGCCCCCCUCAAGAUGAGAUUUCCCAACUUCGGUUAUAAGAUCCCUCAAAGAUGAUGAGGUUAAUAGGUUCGAGGUGGAAGCGUGGUGACACGUGGAGCUGACGAAUACUAAUCGAUCGAAGACUUAAUCAA
rnacentral:rRNA from 1 species